UACGUAGGGUGCGAGCGUUAAUCGGAAUUACUGGGCGUAAAGCGUGCGUAGGUGGUUCGUUAAGUCUGAUGUGAAAGCCCUGGGCUCAACCUGGGAAUGGCAUUGGAAACUGGCGAUCUAGAGUGCGGUAGGAGGUAGUGGAAUUCCCGGUGUAGCAGUGAAAUGCGUAGAGAUCGGGAGGAACAUCUGUGGCGAAGGCGACUGCCUGGACCAGCACUGACACUGAGGCACGAAAGCGUGGGGAGCAAACGGG
rnacentral:rRNA from 1 species